GGCGAGAUGGCCGAGCGGUCUAAGGCGCCAGACUAAGGUGCACAAGCGGUGGAUUGGUAUCUGGUCCGAAAGGGCGUGGGUUCGAAUCCCACUCUCGUCA
rfam:Trametes pubescens strain FBCC735 TRAPTBscaffold_1742, whole genome shotgun sequence.